rnacentral:rRNA from 1 species
UACGUAGGUGGCAAGCGUUGUCCGGAUUUACUGGGCGUAAAGAGCUCGUAGGUGGUUUGUCGCGUUGUUCGUGAAAUCUCACGGCUUAACUGUGAGCGUGCGGGCGAUACGGGCAGACUAGAGUACUGCAGGGGAGACUGGAAUUCCUGGUGUAGCGGUGGAAUGCGCAGAUAUCAGGAGGAACACCGGUGGCGAAGGCGGGUCUCUGGGCAGUAACUGACGCUGAGGAGCGAAAGCGUGGGGAGCGAACAGG